rnacentral:tRNA from 1 species
GGAGAGGUGGCCGAGUGGCUGAAGGCGCUCGCCUGCUAAGCGAGUAAGGGCUAACCGCCCUUCGAGGGUUCGAAUCCCUUCCUCUCCGCCA